rnacentral:tRNA from 6 species
GCGGGAUUAGUUCACCGGUAGAAUAACUCCUUCCCAAGGAGUAGAAGGGGGUUCGAUUCCCCUAUCCCGCUCCC